ACAGUUGAGAAGGAGGUUGUUUCCCUGGGAACGGGGACCAAAUGUAUCGGACAGACAGCCAUGAGUCCCUCUGGUGAAAUACUUAAUGACAGCCAUGCAGAAGUCAUUGCAAGAAGGGGGUGUGUCAGGUACCUGAUCCAGGAGCUGCACAGGGCCGUGAGUGGGAGGGGCAGCGCUGUGUUCUGUCAGGCGGAGGAGCAGGGGAAGUGGAGGCUUCAUCCUGGAGUGUCCUUCCUCUUCUUCACCAGUCACACUC